AUUGAACGCUGGCGGAAUGCUUUACACAUGCAAGUCGAACGGCAGCACGGGGGCAACCCUGGUGGCGAGUGGCGAACGGGUGAGUAAUACAUCGGAACGUGCCCAGUCGUGGGGGAUAACGUAGCGAAAGUUACGCUAAUACUGCAUACGAUCUACGGAUGAAAGCGGGGGACCGUAAGGCCUCGCGCGAGUGGAGCGGCCGAUGUCAGAUUAGGUAGUUGGUGAGGUAAAGGCUCACAAAGCCGACGAUCUGUAGCUGGUCUGACAGGACAACCAGCCACACUGGGACUGAGACACGGCCCAGACUCCACCGGGAGGCAGCAGUGGGGAAUUUUGGACAAUGGGCGCAAGCCUGAUCCAGCCAUUCCGCGUGCAGGACGAAGGCCUUCGGGUUGUAAACUGCUUUUGUACGGAACGAAAAGGCUCUGGUUAAUACCUGAGGCUCAUAACGGUACCGUAAGAAUAAGCACCGGCUAACUACGUGCCAGCCGCCGCAGUAA
rnacentral:rRNA from 1 species